GCAUUGGGUGAGCAGGUUAGCCCAGCAUUUCCCUUCCUGGACAUACAGGAAGAGAAAUGCUGGACUAACCUGCUAA
rnacentral:miRNA from 10 species